rnacentral:rRNA from 1 species
AGAGUUUGAUCAUGGCUCAGGACGAACGCUGGCGGCGUGCUUAACACAUGCAAGUCGAACGGAAAGGCCUUUUCGGAGGUACUCGAGUGGCGAACGGGUGAGUAACACGUGGGUGAUCUGCCCUGCACUCUGGGAUAAGCCUGGGAAACUGGGUCUAAUACCGGAUAGGACUGCACUUUAGUGUGUGUGGUGGAAAGUUUUUUCGGUGUAGGAUGAGCCCGCGGCCUAUCAGCUUGUUGGUGGGGUAAUGGCCUACCAAGGCGGCGACGGGUAGCCGGACUGAGAGGUUGGUCGGCCACAUUGGGACUGAGAUACGGCCCAGACUCCUACGGGAGGCAGCAGUGGGGAAUAUUGCACAAUGGGCGCAAGCCUGAUGCAGCGACGCCGCGUGGGGGAUGACGGCCUUCGGGUUGUAAACUCCUUUCGCCAGGGACGAAGCGUUUUGUGACGGUACCUGGAGAAGAAGCACCGGCUAACUACGUGCCAGCAGCCGCGGUAAUUC